rnacentral:rRNA from 1 species
GUUUGAUCCUGGCUCAAGAUGAACCUUUGCGGUGUGCCUAAUACAUGCAAGUCGAACGGUGACUAUUUUGUAGCAAUACAAAUGAAAUCAUAGUGGCGAACGGGUGAGUAACGCGUUGGUGAUCUGCCUCGAAGUGUGAAAUAACUUCCCGAAAGGGUAGCUAAUACCGCGUACUCUCUCAAGGUUUAAAAAAUUGAGAGUAAAGGAUUUAUUCGCUUCGAGAGGAGCCUGCGUCCCAUCAGCUAGUUGGUAGGGUAAUACCCUACCAAGGCAAUGACGGGUAGGGGACCUGAGAGGGUGCCCCCCCACAAUGGAACUGAAACACGGUCCAUACACCUACGGGUGGCAGCAGUAGGGAAUAUUAGAAAUGGGCGAAAGCCUGAUCUAGCAACACCGCGUGUGCGAUGAAGGCCUUCGGGUUGUAAAGCACUUUUUGGAGGGAAUAGGAAGGAAGGUACCUCCAGAAUAAGUCUCGGCUAACUACGUGCCAGCAGCCGCGGUAACACGUAGGAGGCAAACGUUAUCCGGAUUCACUGGGCGUAAAGCGCGUGUAGGUGGUUCUGUAAGUAGGGCGUGAAAGCUCCCGGCUCAACUGGGAGAGGCCGUACUAAACUGCAGAGCUAGAGGAUGGUAGAGGGAGGUGGAAUUCCAGGUGUAGUGGUGAAAUGCGCAGAUAUCUGGAGGAACACCAGUGGCGAAGGCGGCCUCCUGGACCAUUCCUGACACUCAGACGCGAAAGCUAGGGUAGCAAACGGAAUUAGAGACUCCGGUAGUCCUAGCCCUAAACGAUGCAGACUAGGCGUCGGCGGUUUAAUCACCGUCGGUGUCCAAGCUAACGCGAUGAGUCUGCCGCCUGAGGACUACGGCCGCAAGGCUAAAACUCAAAGGAAUUGGCGGGUCCCCGCACAAGCAGCGGAGCGUGUGGUUUAAUUCGACGCAACGCGAAGAACCUUACCAGGUCUUGACAUCCUGCUAACGAGGUAGAAAUACGUUAGGUGCCAGCAAUGGAAAGCAGAGACAGGUGGUGCAUGGUUGUCGUCAGCUCGUGUCGUGAGAUGUUGGGUUAAGUCCCGCAACGAGCGCAACCCUUGUGUUUAGUUACUAACGCGUAGAGGCGAGGACUCUAGACAGACCGCCGGGGACAACUCGGAGGAAGGUGGGGACGACGUCAAAUCAUCAUGCCCCUUAUGUCUAGGGCUACACACGUGCUACAAUGGUCGGUACAAUAAGACGCAAGCCCGCGAGGGGGAGCAAAACUGGAAAACCGAUCUCAGUUCGGAUUGUAGGCUGAAACUCGCCUACAUGAAGCUGGAGUUGCUAGUAAUCGCGAAUCAGCAUGUCGCGGUGAAUACGUUCCCGGGCCUUGUACACACCGCCCGUCA